UACGGGGGGGGGCAAGCGUUGUUCGGAAUUACUGGGCGUAAAGGGCUCGUAGGUGGCCAACUAAGUCAUGCGUGAAAUCCCUCGGCUUAACCGGGGAACUGCGUCUGAUACUGGAUGGCUUGAGUUUGGAAGAGGGAUGCGGAAUUCCAGGUGUAGCGGUGAAAUGCGUAGAUAUCUGGAGGAACACCGGUGGCGAAGGCGGCAUCCUGGACCAAUACUGACACUGAGGAGCGAAAGCCAGGGGAGCAAACGGG
rnacentral:rRNA from 1 species